GAAUAUUGGACAAUGGGGGGAACCCUGACCCAGCCAUGCCGCGUGUGUGAAGAAGGCCUUUUGGUUGUAACGCACUUUAAGCGAGGAGGAGGCUACUCUAGUUAAUACCUAGGUCUAGUGGACGUUACUCGCAGAAUAAGCACCGGCUAACUCGGUGCCAGCAGCCGCGGUAAUACAGAGGGUGCAAGCUUUAAUCGGAUUUACUGGGCGUAAAGCGCGCGUAGGUGGCCAAUUAAGUCAAAUGUGAAAUCCCCGAGCUUAGCUUGGGAAGUGCAUUCGAUACUGGUUGGCUAGAGUAUGGGAGAGGAUGGUAGAAUUCCAGGUGUAGCGGUGAAAUGCGUAGAGAUCUGGAGGAAUACCGAUGGCGAAGGCAGCCAUCUGGGCUAAUACUGACACUGAGGUGCGAAAGCAUGGGGAGCAAACA
rnacentral:rRNA from 1 species